rnacentral:rRNA from 1 species
UGUUGGGGUAACGGCCCAACAAGCCCGUGAUCGAUACGGGUUGUGAGAGCAAGAGCCCGGAGAUGGAUUCUGAGACACGAAUCCAGGCCCUACGGGGCGCAGCAGGCGCGAAAACUUUACAAUGCGGGAAACCGUGAUAAGGGGAUCUCGAGUGCCAGCAUAUAAUGUUGGCUGUCCAGAUGCCUAAAAAGCAUCUGUUAGCAAGGGCCGGGCAAGACCGGUGCCAGCCGCCGCGGUAACACCGGCGGCCCGAGUGGUAACCGCUAUUAUUGGGUCUAAAGGGUCUGUAGCCGGCCAGGUAAGUCCCUUGGGAAAUCUACCGGCUCAACCGGUAGGCGUUCAGGAGAUACUGGCAAUCUAGGGACCGGGAGAGGUGAGAGGUACUCCAGGGGUAGGAGUGAAAUCCUGUAAUCCUUGGGGGACCACCUGUGGCGAAGGCGUCUCACUAGAACGGCUCCGACAGUGAGGGACGAAAGCUGGGGGAGCAAACCGGAUUAGAU